UACGUAGGGACCAAGCGUUGUUCGGAUUUACUGGGCGUAAAGGGCGCGUAGGCGGCAUGACAAGUCACUUGUGAAAUCUCCGGGCUUAACUCGGAACGGUCAAGUGAUACUGUCGCGCUAGAGUGCGGAAGGGGCAAUCAGAAUUCUUGGUGUAGCGGUGAAAUGCGUAGAUAUCGUAAGGAAGACCAGUGGCGAAGGCGGGUCUCUGGACAGUUCCUGACGCUGAGGCACGAAGGCCAGGGGAGCAAACGGG
rnacentral:rRNA from 1 species